rnacentral:rRNA from 1 species
CGCGUAGGCGGUUUGUUAAGUUGGAUGUGAAAGCCCCGGGCUCAACCUGGGAAUUGCACCCGAUACUGGCCGACUAGAGUACGAGAGAGGGAGGUAGAAUCCCACGUGUAGCGGUGAAAUGCGUAGAUAUGUGGAGGAAUACCGGUGGCGAAGGCGGCCUCCUGGCUCGAUACUGACGCUGAGGUGCGAAAGCGUGGGGAGCAAACA